rnacentral:lncRNA from 1 species
GGCAGCACUGUAAGAAAUGGAAAGAAAAGGGAGUAAGCAUAAAGCUUAGUAAGUUGCAUAUAAAUAAAUAUACAACAAUAAGUUUACAAUUUACCAACAACUUAUGAAACCAAAGUGGGCAUAAGCAUAACUUACCCUUUACUUCAUACAAAUCACAUAGCAUAUACAAUGAGUUCACAUCUUAUACAUAUGUAUCACUUAGGUACCUGUAAUACUC